rnacentral:rRNA from 1 species
UACAGAGGGUGCGAGCGUUAAUCGGAAUUACUGGGCGUAAAGCGUGCGUAGACGGCUAUCUAAGUCGGGUGUGAAAGCCCCGGGCUCAACCUGGGAAUUGCAUUCGAGACUGAAUAGCUAGGGUACGGUAGAGGGAAGCGGAAUUUCCGGUGUAGCGGUGAAAUGCGUAGAUAUCGGAAGGAACAUCAGUGGCGAAAGCGGCUUCCUGGACCAGUACCGACGUUCAGGCACGAAAGCGUGGGGAGCAACAGGA